rnacentral:rRNA from 1 species
GAUCCUGGCUCAGGAUGAACGCUAGCUACAGGCUUAACACAUGCAAGUCGAGGGGCAGCAUUUAGUUGCUUGCAAACUAAAGAUGGCGACCGGCGCACGGGUGAGUAACACGUAUCCAACCUGCCGAUAACUCGGGAUAGCCUUUCGAAAGAAAGAUUAAUAUCCGAUGGUAUAUUUUCUCCGCAUGGUGAGAAUAUUAAAGAAUUUCGGUUAUCGAUGGGAUGCGUUCCAUUAGUUUGUUGG